GAAGAGCAGUAAGAGUAACUUUUCGUUGGAGAAAGGCAAGUGUGUCCUUGUCCUUUUGUCCAAAUAACUUUAUUUAAUCACUAUUGCAUAUGCUUGCAUUAACUUUGAUGGGUCCUAUUAAGGUUUGCCUAGUUUUUAUGAUCAUUCCUUGUCAACCUGAGUCUAUCUUUCUGUUGGGUAGCUAUGCUUAGCUGCUAUACUUGGAUUAUGGUGGUUCUAAUGAACAACGAUGAUGAACUUAUUUUAUUUAUGCUACACCUUCCUUUAAUACAAGAUCACUGUGAUUAAUUGGAAUGUGGAGAACCACCCAGGAAAACAGUGCUAGCAAAAGACUAAAUGGCUAUGGUCUUGGCUGAAUAAUUAGAAACCUUAGUCUGGGGUAAUCUUACUCGUGAUGAGGCAAGAGGGGGCACUGAGUCGUUGCAUUGUCGGCCUGUGAUAGGUUGUGCACGCCAGACACCAAAACCUUAGCGGGUUACCACUGACUAAUGAAUCUUUGUAAAGGCCUCGUAGCGUCCCUAUGCAACCACACCUCGGAAGUGUGGUAUUGUGCCUGAUCAGCACAAGCGUGGUUGGGUCUAAAGUUCUUUUGAACUUUUACGCGACUUGUGGGUAAAGAUGUGCAACCUCUGCAGAGUGUAAAACUGAUCGAUCAGCUGUGCUCACGGUCAAGAGCAGCCUGGACCCUCACAUGAGUAAUAUACUUGAAGAUGGAUUUAAAUUGUGGUUUAUGCUAUGGUUAUGGUUGUGCCAUAUGCUUAUGGCUUAUGUUUAUGUUUAUAUUAAUUGUGGGUUGGUAUAUACUUAUACCUUAGUAAUCAGGUGCUAAUAAAAUUUGACCAACUAAAAAUGCUUAAUGCAGUCAACCAGUCAGCCUUUCCUUGUUUAACCCUUGCAUUCAUAUUCUCCUCACACUUGCUGAGUACGACAAGUGCUCACCCUUGCUAUAAACAACGUUGCUCAGAGGAAGAAGUGCUAUGAAGUUGUUGUGAAGAUGGUGCUGAGUUCUAGGCGUACGCAGCUCCUAGUCGAUUGCCUGUGAAGUUUGGAGCCUCCAUUUCCAUAAUUAAGCUGUAUAACUUUGAUGGUUUCGUAAGUCUUUAUUUGUAUCUUUUUACGUGAUACUAUUGCUGUUAUUCACUAAUGAUGUCACUAUAUGUAUGAAACUUGAUCCUGGCAUACAUAUAGGAAGCACUUAGUUUUGUCCUGAAAACCAGGUGUGACAAAUCCUUU
rnacentral:lncRNA from 1 species